GCACUGCCUUUGAGCCCCCAGUCAUGUUCUCUUGGUGCUGGGAGUUAAGCUGCGGUGCCAUAGCACACUGCUGGUACAUAACUAGGGCCGCAUGCCCUUCAUAGGCGGCCCUUUUAACUGCUAGCUACAGGC